rnacentral:rRNA from 1 species
CAGCAGCCACGGUAAUACGAAGGGUGCAAGCGUUACUCGGAAUUACUGGGCGUAAAGCGUGCGUAGGUGGUGGUUUAAGUCCGUUGUGAAAGCCCUGGGCUCAACCUGGGAAUUGCAGUGGAUACUGGGUCACUAGAGUGUGGUAGAGGAUAGUGGAAUUUCCGGUGUAGCAGUGAAAUGCGUAGAGAUCGGAAGGAACAUCUGUGGCGAAGGCGACUAUCUGGGCCAACACUGACACUGAGGCACGAAAGCGUGGGGAGCAAACAGGAUUAGAUACCCCUGUAGUCCCUGUCUCUUAUAC